UGUUUUAUCGACAUAAUAAAAUUGGAGCGAUAAAGAGAAGAUUAGCAAGACCCCUGCGCAAGGAUGACACGCAAAUUCGUGAAGUGUUCCAUAUUUAU
rnacentral:snRNA from 1 species